GAUGAACGCUGGCGGCGUGCCUAAUACAUGCAAGUCGAGCGAACGGACGAGAAGCUUGCUUCUCUGAUGUUAGCGGCGGACGGGUGAGUAACACGUGUAUAACCUACCUAUAAGACUGGGAUAACCUCGGGAAACCGGAGCUAAUACCGGAUAAUAUUUUGAACCGCAUGGUUCAAAAGUGAAAGACGGUCUUGCUGUCACUUAUCGAUGGAUCUGCGCUGCAUUAGCUAGUUGGUAAGGUAACGGCUUACCAAGGCAACGAUGCAUAGCCGACCUGAGAGGGUGAUCGGCCACACUGGAGCUGAGACACGGUCCAGACUCCUACGGGAGGCAGCAGUAGGGAAUCUUCCGCAGUGGGCGAAAGCCUGGCGGAGCAACGCCGCGUGAGUGAUGAAGGUCUUCGGAUCGUAAAACUCUGUUAUUAGGGAAGAACAUAUGUGUAAGUAGCUGUGCACAUCUUGACGGUACCUGGUCAGAAAGCCACGGCUAACUACGUG
rnacentral:rRNA from 1 species